rnacentral:ncRNA from 1 species
ACAGAGGAAAGAUUUGACUGCUUGCAACCUCUCAAAAAUAAUGCUAAAAC